AUUGAACGCUGGCGGCAGGCCUAACACAUGCAAGUCGAACGGUAACAGAAAGCAGCUUGCUGCUUUGCUGACGAGUGGCGGACGGGUGAGUAAUGUCUGGGAAACUGCCUGAUGGAGGGGGAUAACUACUGGAAACGGUAGCUAAUACCGCAUAACGUCGCAAGACCAAAGAGGGGGACCUUCGGGCCUCUUGCCAUCGGAUGUGCCCAGGUGGGAUUAGCUAGUAGGUGGGGUAACGGCUCACCUAGGCGACGAUCCCUAGCUGGUCUGAGAGGAUGACCAGCCACACUGGAACUGAGACACGGUCCAGACUCCUACGGGAGGCAGCAGUGGGGAAUAUUGCACAAUGGGCGCAAGCCUGAUGCAGCCAUGCCGCGUGUAUGAAGAAGGCCUUCGGGUUGUAAAGUACUUUCAGCGGGGAGGAAGGGAGUAAAGUUAAUACCUUUGCUCAUUGACGUUACCCGCAGAAGAAGCACCGGCUAACUCCGUG
rnacentral:rRNA from 1 species